AACGAACGCUGGCGGCGUGCUUAAUACAUGCAAGUCGAACGUGAUUCUGUAGCAAUACAGAUGAAAGUGGCGAACGGGUGAGUAACACGUAAGUAAUCUGCCUUCAAGAUUGGGAUAACCCUGCCAACGCGGGGCUAAUACCGGAUGUGGUCAUAAAGACGCAUGUUUUUGUGAUUAAAGGAGCGAUCCGCUUGAAGAUGAGCUUGCGGCCCAUUAGUUAGUUGGUGGGGUAACGGCCUACCAAGACCGGGAUGGGUAGCCGGCCUGAGAGGGUGAACGGCCACAUUGGGACUGAGAUACGGCCCAGACUCCUACGGGAGGCUG
rnacentral:rRNA from 1 species